AUUGAACGCUGGCGGCAGGCCUAACACAUGCAAGUCGAGCGGAUGAAGGGAGCUUGCUCCUGGAUUCAGCGGCGGACGGGUGAGUAAUGCCUAGGAAUCUGCCUGGUAGUGGGGGAUAACGUCCGGAAACGGGCGCUAAUACCGCAUACGUCCUGAGGGAGAAAGUGGGGGACCUUCGGACCUCACGCUAUCAGAUGAGCCUAGGUCGGAUUAGCUAGUUGGUGGGGUAAAGGCCUACCAAGGCGACGAUCCGUAACUGGUCUGAGAGGAUGAUCAGUCACACUGGAACUGAGACACGGUCCAGACUCCUACGGGAGGCGGCAGUGGGGAAUAUUGGACAAUGGGCGAAAGCCUGAUCCAGCCAUGCCGCGUGUGUGAAGAAGGUCUUCGGAUUGUAAAGCACUUUAAGUUGGGAGGAAGGGCAGUAAGUUAAUACCUUGCUGUUUUGACGUUACCAACAGAAUAAGCACCGGCUAACUUCGUG
rnacentral:rRNA from 1 species